rnacentral:rRNA from 1 species
UACGUAGGUGGCAAGCGUUGUCCGGAUUUACUGGGCGUAAAGGGCGCGUAGGCGGCUUAGUUAGUCAGGCGUGAAAAUUCCUGGGCUCAACCUGGGGACUGCGCUUGAUACGGCUAGGCUAGAGGAUGGAAGAGGGUCGCGGAAUUCCCAGUGUAGAGGUGAAAUUCGUAGAUAUUGGGAAGAACACCGGUGGCGAAGGCGGCGACCUGGUCCAUUACUGACGGCUGAGGCGC